AUUAUCAAGAGAGGUGGAGGGAAUAGGCCCGAUGAAACCCAGCAACCUACCAUAUGGUGUUGGUGCUAAAUCCUACGGGGAACCGAUAGAUAA
rnacentral:ncRNA from 1 species